CGGGGUUUCACCAUGUCGCCCAGGCUGGUCUCGAACUCCUGGGCUCAAGUGAUCUGCCCACUUUGGCCUCCCAAAGUGCUGGAAUUACAGGCCUGAGCCACUGUGCCCGGCCAACUAGUGACUCAAACUGUGCACUGAGAAGCCCGGGACCUCUGUGGGUGAUCGUGGAAGUGAGAGAGGAGAGUCUAAGGAGGUUCUGCUCAUGGCAGAUGACCAGAAUGCAAUAAACCAAGCCAAACCAAGCCCUGCCAAUUUCCUGUCUGACCAAAGCAAGUCAUGUGGCUAAGCCCAACAUCAGUGGGGCAGGGAAGUACACACCACCCACGUGGAACGGAGAGGGAAAUGAACACUGGCUGAACAACAGUCCACACUGUCACAGGGCACAGAGCCUGCCAUGUUACUACUUGCAAGUGAAGGAAUGGACGAAGGAAGGAAAGAACGAAUGAAUGAAGGAUGGAAGGCAACUGCUUAACUACUGCUCCACCAACGGAACUCAUUCCCUUCCCAGGAUCAUAUCUUUAAACAGCUCCUGACCCCAGCUUCCUGGGGGAAGGGAGGAAGAGCAGAUCAGAAUAGGCAUCUGGAGACUCAAGUUCUAAUCGUGAGCCUGAGGGUGCUCAAGUGACUGCCCCUCUUUGGGCUUCACUUUCACAUCUGAAAUAUGAAGGAUUUGGUUCAAUGAUCUAAGGGAGCCCCACCCCCCAACUCUGUCCAUGUGGAGGUCUAUGCAAUAAAUCCAAAGAAGCCAGUCACAAAAGACCACAUAGUAUAUGAUUCCGUUUAUGUGAAAUGUCUAGAAUAGGCAAUUCUAUGGAGACAGAAAGUAGAUUAGUG
rnacentral:lncRNA from 1 species